rnacentral:rRNA from 1 species
UUUGAUCUGGCUCGUUGAACGCUGGCGGGAUGCUUUACACAUGCAAGUCAGACGUGGCACAGGCUUCAGUCUGGUGGCGAGUGGCAGGCGGAGUGAGUAAUGUAUCGGAACGUGCCUAAUGGCGGGGGAUAACUACACUUGGCCUUAGCUAAUACCACAUACGCCCUUCGAGAAGCGGGGGACCUUCGGGCCUCGCACUAUUAGAGCGGCCGAUAUCGGAUUAGCUAGUUGGUGGGGUAACGGCUCACCAAGGCGACGAUCCCGUAGCUGGUUUGAGAGGACGACCAGCCACACUGGGACGAGACACGGCCCAGACUCCUACGGGAGGCAGCAGUGGGGAAUUUGGACAAUGGGGAAACCCUGAUCCAGCACCCCGCGUGUGCGAUGAAGGCCUUCGGGUUGUAAGCACUUUUGGCAGAAAGAAACGGCACGGGAUAAUACCCCGUGCAACUGACAGGUACCUGCAGAAUAAGCACCGGCUAACUACGUGCCAGCAGCGCGGUAAUACGUAGGGUGCAAGCGUUAAUCGGAAUUACUGGGCGUAAAGCGUGCGCAGGCGGUUCCGGAAAAGAAGAUGUAAAUCCCAGAGCUUAACUUUGGAACUGCAUUUUAACUACCAAGCUAGAGUGUGUCAGGGAGGUGGAAUUCCGCGCGUGUAGCAGUGGUACGUAGAUAUGCGGAGGAACACCGGAUGGCGAAGGCAGCCUCGCAGGGAUAACACUGACGCUCAUGCGCGAAAGCGUGGGGAGCAAACAGGAUUAGAUACCCUGGUAGUCCACGCCCUAAACAAUCCAGCUUAGCUGUUGGGGCCUUCGGGCCUUGGUAGCGCAGCUAACGCGUGAAGUUGACCGCCUGGGAAAUUACGGUCGCAAGAUUAAAACUCAAAGGAAUUGACGGGGACCCGCACAAGCGGUGGAUGAUGUGGAUUAAUUCGAUGCAACGCGAAAACCUUACCUACCCUUGACAUGUCUGGAAUCCCGAAAGUUUGGGAGUGCUCGCAAGAAACCGGAACACAGGUGCUGCAUGGCUGUCGUCAGCUCGUGUCGUGAGAUGUUGGGUUAAGUCCCGCAACGAGCGCAACCCUUGUCAUUAGUUGCUACGAAGGGCACUCUAAUGAGACUGCCGGUGAUAAACCGGAGGAAGGUGGGGAUGACGUCAAGUCCUCAUGGCCCUUAUGGGCAGAACUUCACACGUCAUACAAUGGUCGGGACAGAGGGUCGCCAACCCGCGGGGAGCCAAUCCCAGAAACCCGAUCGUAGUCGGAUCGCAGUCUGCAACUCGACUGCGUGAAGCCGGAAUCGCUAGUAAUCGCGGAUCAGCAUGUCGCGGUGAAUACGUUCGGGUCUUGUACACACCGCCCGUCACACCAUGGGAGUGGGUUUUACCAGAAGUAGUUAGCCUAACCGUAAGGAGGGCAGAUUACACGGUAGGAUUCAUGACUGGGGUGGAAGUCGUAACAAGGUAA